CACCAAGAAGCUAUANAGCACUAACCUUUUAAGUUAGAGAUUGAGAGCANNAUACUCUCCUUGGUGA
rnacentral:tRNA from 1 species